rnacentral:rRNA from 1 species
CCUACGGGGGGCAGCAGUGGGGAAUAUUGCACAAUGGGGGAAACCCUGAUGCAGCGACGCCGCGUGAGUGAAGAAGUAAUUCGUUAUGUAAAGCUCUAUCAGCAGGGAAGAAAAUGACGGUACCUGAGUAAGAAGCCCCGGCUAACUACGUGCCAGCAGCCGCGGUAAUACGUAGGGGGCAAGCGUUAUCCGGAUUUACUGGGUGUAAAGGGAGCGUAGACGGCAGUGCAAGUCUGGAGUGAAAGGCGGGGGCCCAACCCCCGGACUGCUCUGGAAACUGUACGGCCGGAGUGCAGGAGAGGGAA